AAUACCUUAGGGCUUGCAACAACCCGCAAACCAAAACUAACAAAAACCACAAAAAUAACAUGUCUUAGUGAAGGAAAUGUGUCCUUCACCCAAGGUGCAUUAGUCUAAUACCAAGGUUCAGAUUAAUUACGAACAAUCACUACUACAAAACACAUCAUUUCUCGACCCUAGGGCCUCGACGCUGAGGGAGUACUGUCAGUAACAAAUUAUGAGUUGCGUGUUUUGUCGACGAUUUUAUGCGCCUUCUUAUAUCCCGUCUACUAUAAGCGUCGAGAUAUAACUAAAUAGACACAUGCCCAACACGUGGUCAUAUUUAGAAGCCCGCCUGUUUUUUUUUGCGUGAGAACUGAAAACCGUCCCCACUCACAGUCCUCGUUCAUCUCAACCCUAAACUAAUACCUUCUCUCCUCUUUUUCUAUCACUUUGAAAGUUCCAGAUGUAAGUCCUUACAAUCAAUUUUCCUCUUUCUUUUCAUCUCCUUGGUUCCUCUUUCUUUUCAUCUCCUUGAGAUUUUUUUAAUUUAGUUUGUCACUAUUAUUAUUAUCAUGAUUCAUAUACGAGAAGAUCUAUUUGAUGGUUUACAUAGUUCAACAAGCUUUCGAAGAUUCCCUAUUCUCCCAUGACCGAGCGGUCUAUUCCAGUCUUAGAUCAUGGUCUCAUGGUGGCCAGAUUUGCUGCAUAUAUUGUCAUACAUGCACUACUACAAAAGCUUUGUUUUAUGGACGCAUGGAGCUAAACGCUUGGGUAUGAGCGUUGGUGGAAAAAAAAAUUAGUCACGACGCUCUUUGUCGUCCAUGGGUUUUUAGACAGUUAUAGGCGUCGAGAAUGCACGGGCAAUACACAUGAUGUUUUUUCUAAUUAGCUAUUGUUUCCCGCAACUUCUCCUUUUCGGGGAAAAGAAAAACCGCCUCAAUAAAUUCUCAUCACCGCCUCUCAUCUCGUGCUAAAGAAUCUCAGAUCUACUCUUCUCUCAUUGGAAAGCUCUUACAGCAAGUGAUGUUCUUGGGGCAAAAAUCCUUCAGGUCUAUCACACGAUCCUACUACUGAGGGGUUGCUGGCGCGCUUCACAUCACUAGGAGGGAGAUUUUUAAUCACCUUGCAAGUUGGCUGGAGGAUGCAAGGCAACACGCUAAUGCUAACAUGACAAUCAUGCUUAUAGGUACAAUUGUGAUCGUGGAAGGUGAAUAGUUUCCCAAGGGACAUGGAUUGAUAUUUAUGAGUGUUCUGCAAAAACUGCUCAAAAUGUUCAAAAGGGUGAAGUUAUGAGAUUUGUGUUAAAGAUGAAUGACCGUGUGAUUCAAGUCUCGUGUAUCCUGGCUUCAUAUGGCUCCAUAAUACAGAGAAGUUCUGGUAUUGAGAUUAUUCAAGUAGGUCCAAAUCCGCAAACAAUGAGAAACUGCAUCAAUUCUUGAAGAAGAGAGAAGCUUUAAUUAAUUUAAAUUUCUCAAUGCUUCUAAUGUAAACAAUUUUGGAGGAAGUAUGCCUUGAUAGUAUACAGUAUUAUAAUAGUAUUGUAACUGUUUUUUGUUGUCCUUGUAAGACUCAAUCAAACCUUAUUUUGUAUUUUAUAUCAUUAAUAAUGAAUAGAA